rnacentral:rRNA from 1 species
AGCGAACGCUGGCGGCAGGCCUAACACGUGCAAGUCGAACGAACUCUUCGGAGUUAGUGGCGGACGGGUGAGUAACACGUGGGAACGUGCCUUUUGGUUCGGAAUAACUCAGGGAAACUUGUGCUAAUACCGAAUGUGCCCUUCGGGGGAAAGAUUUAUCGCCAUUAGAGCGGCCCGCGUCUGAUUAGCUAGUUGGUGAGGUAACGGCUCACCAAGGCGACGAUCAGUAGCUGGUCUGAGAGGAUGACCAGCCACACUGGGACUGAGACACGGCCCAGACUCCUACGGGAGGCAGCAGUGGGGAAUCUUGCGCAAUGGGCGAAAGCCUGACGCAGCCAUGCCGCGUGAAUGAUGAAGGUCUUAGGAUUGUAAAAUUCUUUCACCGGGGACGAUAACGACGGUACCCGGAGAAGAAGCCCCGGCUAACUUCGUG